CAGGAGAAAACAGCAGCUUUUAUGCACUGGGAUGAGGAUGCAGUGAAAGCCUUCCUCUGAGACACACACAAAUUCCAGGCAGAGGCCUCUAGGUGCAGGCACAUCCCUGGGAGUGAUGGGGAAAUUCUGCAUCAGCAAAGGAAACUUGCAGGAGAUACCAGGAGCUCAGUCCUUCGCCUUUUAAUUUCCCUUCUGCAGUUCAAGACCACCUUGCAGGAUAGACAGGAGUUGUUGGAGCUCUAGUCAGGCUGCAGAGCAGAGGACCAAGUGCAUGAGAGUGCACUUGUGUCUUGUGAGAGCUGUCAGCAAUACCUCUGUAUUUUCCAAAUAGUAUUUGUCUUCAGUUUUCUUCUAUUACACUGGGGACUGACUGCAGCUGGCCUCCAUGUCUGAGUGGUUAAUAAAGUUGAUUUACACUGUUUA